AGAUUGAACGCUGGCGGCAUGCCUUACACAUGCAAGUCGAACGGCAGCACGGGAGCAAUCCUGGUGGCGAGUGGCGAACGGGUGAGCAAUAUAUCGGAACGUGCCCAGUCGUGGGGGAUAACGCAGCGAAAGCUGUGCUAAUACCGCAUACGAUCUAUGGAUGAAAGCGGGGGAUCGCAAGACCUCGCGCGAAUUGGAGCGGCCGAUAUCAGAUUAGCUAGUUGGUGGGGUAAAAGCCUACCAAGGCGACGAUCUGUAGCUGGUCUGAGAGGACGACCAGCCACACUGGAACUGAGACACGGUCCAGACUCCUACGGGAGGCAGCAGUGGGGUAAUUUUGGAACAAGUGGGCGCGAAGCCUGAUCCAGCAAUGCCGCGUGCAGGAUAGAAGGCCUUGGUGUAACGUAGUCUUUGUACGGAACGUAACGUACUCUACUAAUACGAGGGACGUAAGUACGAACGGUACCGUAAGAAGUAAGACGACCGACGUAACUACGUACG
rnacentral:rRNA from 1 species